rnacentral:tRNA from 1 species
GCCCAGGUGGUGAAAUUGGUAUACACGCCACUUUGAGGGGGUGGUGGCCUUACGGCCGUGCAAGUUCAAGUCUUGUCCUGGGCACCA